AUGUAUCACCAACAUCAGGGCCCUAGUGAGCUCUUCACUACUAGGACGACCUUUCCCAUGGAGAGGCAUCUGUUUCUGCACGGAGGAAGUACGCAAGGAGAUUCCGGGCUAGUUCUCUCAACCGAUGCAAAACCAAGGCUGAAAUGGACACCCGAGUUACAUCAGCGAUUUGUAGAUGCGGUCAAUCAAUUGGGCGGAGCAGAAAAAGCUACUCCAAAAACAGUCAUGAGGCUUAUGGGCAUUCCAGGACUCACCUUGUAUCAUCUGAAAAGCCACCUUCAGAAAUACAGGCUCAGUAAGAACCUCCAAGCUCAAGUUAACGUUGGGACAAACAAGAACACCAUAGGAUGUGCAAUUGUAGCUGAUGGCAUGCCCGGAACAAGUGUGCCAGCGAUGAUCAAUACAAAUGUCAUUCCACAGCCAGAGAAAACUAUGCAAAUUGGUGAAGCCCUACAGAUGCAAAUCGAGGUGCAGAGACAAUUAAACGAACAACUCGAGGUACAACGGCAUCUGCAACUACGGAUAGAAGCCCAAGGGAAGUAUCUGCAGGCAGUUCUAGAGCAGGCACAAGAGAGCCUUGGAAAACAGAAUUUGGGUCCUGCAAACCUGGAAGAUGCAAAGAUGAAAAUAUCAGAACUAGUCUCACAAGUAUCAAACGAAUGUUUCAGCAAUGCAGUUACAGAGAUAAAAGAAAGUUCAAGUAUGCACAGACUAGAGCCAAGGCAAAUCCAGUUCAUGGAAAGUUCAACCAACAACUGUUUGACUGCAGCCGGAGGAUUCAUUAAUGAGCAUAGACUACACAGCCAUGGAAUGCUCAAAGCAUAUGAUGAUAGUUCAAUAUUUUGCAGAAAGCACUCUCCUGACCGUGAGUACCAGUUUUCCCUUAAUAGAAGCCUAAGCGAGCGUAAGAUGGGUCAUUUGCACAAUGUGAAUGAGUACCACAAAGCAGAGUUUGGAAGUGAAAGUGACAUGGAGAUUCAACAGGAAUAUACUACACCUCAAAAGAAUGGCAGAGGCAGCACCACCAGUUCAGCCUCAGGAAGCAAAGAAAGAGAUGCGGACAGACUAUAUCUUGAAGAACCAAACUGCAAGAGACAAUUGGUUGAACAUUCAGGUUUUGAGCAUCCAAGUUCUGGGAAGAAACUUGAUCUGAACACUCAAAACACUGAUGAUGGUGAUCACGGGUAUAGGCAUUUUGAUUUAAAUGGCUUCAGCUGGAGCUGA
rnacentral:rRNA from 1 species